UACAGAGGGUGCAAGCGUUGUUCGGAAUUAUUGGGCGUAAAGGGCGCGUAGGCGGUGCUGUAAGUCUGUGGUGAAAUCUCUGGGCUCAACUCAGAGUCUGCCAUAGAAACUGCAGUGCUGGAGUGUGGGAGAGGUGAGUGGAAUUCCCGGUGUAGCGGUGAAAUGCGUAGAUAUCGGGAGGAACGCCUGUGGCGAAAGCGGCUCACUGGACCACAACUGACGCUGAGGCGCGAAAGCUAGGGGAGCAAACAGG
rnacentral:rRNA from 1 species